rfam:Erwinia tasmaniensis strain ET1/99 complete chromosome.
CAGCAUGCUGAGAGCUGUAACUCAGGGGCGGUAGCGUG